UACGUAGGGGGCUAGCGUUGUCCGGAAUCAUUGGGCGUAAAGAGCGUGUAGGCGGUCCGGUAAGUCCGUUGUGAAAGUCAGGGGCUCAACCCUUGAAUGCCGGCGGAUACUGUCGGGCUAGAGUCCGGAAGAGGCAAGUGGAAUUCCCGGUGUAGCGGUGAAAUGCGCAGAUAUCGGGAGGAACACCUAUGGCGAGGGCAGCUUGCUGGGACGGUACUGACGCUGAGACGCGAAAGCGUGGGGAGCAAACAGG
rnacentral:rRNA from 1 species